GUCGCGGCCAACUCUUCCGAAUCGGCGAACGCCACGUGGCCAGCGCGUAGUAUGCAGCGCGUUCCGCAUAUAAAAGCCGGUGAGGGAUAACUCCGUUACCCCUUUCUUCGUCUUCGCGGUUCACACCACCGACACCGCUGCAUUUGGGUACUGCGAGAUGCAAUUUUUUAUCCAUUUACUGAAACGACCACACCUAUGGCGCUGCAUUUGUGGCCGUCGCGGAAUAUACGGAACGUUAAAAAAGCAGAAGGCAUCAGGAUAAAUAAAGGAAUUCUCUGAAUUCACCAAACUUAUGAACUUGAGAAGAGAGAGUAUCGAAACAACAGAGCUGCUCUGUUUGAUAGCAUUGAGGAGGGUGGCAUUCAGGCCUCAUCUUAAUCGUCUCAUGAAAUUGCUGAGUAUGACUAAGAUAAAUAUAUUGAUGGGUUGCAAGAUAGAGUGAAUUUUUAAAAAAGAGUAGGUCAUUUACAAUAUUUUAUUUGAUUUUUUGGUAAAUAUUUCCUGACUCAUUAUAUUUUAUCAAGUCCUACUCAAAUUUCUCUUGAUAUAACUGUUGGACCUGUUGUUUAUCUUGUAAAUAUAUUUCAUAGAUAUUGUGAUUGAUAUUAGAACAAAUAUCUUUCUUAAGAUUGGAAGCUUCUUGAUGGACCUGUGCUUUUUUUGGUUUUGUGAUGUGUUUUAGCUCUUACUUCUUCACUGCCACUAGUGACGGUUCUUUUUUUGUUGGGUGAGGACCGGUGACAGUUAUUUUAGUUGAUGCAUGGGUUUAAACUUGACACCCCAGCUUCAGUCAUAUUUUUAUGAUCUACCUGGUCAUGUUCUUCCAGAUUAUUAGAAUUUUGUUUUUGAUGAUGAAUGUGUAAAAUAUUCUUCUUUAGAGCUGUUCCAUAUGGACUGGUAAGAGAUACUCUGUUGUUUCUUUGUCCAGAGAUAUCUAUUUAAUGCUAUAAUGUUUGAUCUUCAGAACUCUGAGCCCUGCUAAGGAGUCAUGCUUCAUAUUACCCAGUUGAAGACCUUAAUAUUGGUGGCAUAUCUUUGGUCAAUAUGCAAAUGUUACACUCUAUGAUUAGAUCUUGUUUUUUUUCAAGAUCACCCAAAAUAUUUUCCCCUUCUCAUUAUUUCUAAAAUUGUCACAAAUUUACUUAAAAAGUUUUAUUUAGCAAUCUAAAGAGAAAAUAUCUUCUAAUUUUCCAGUUUGUGUAUCCUUUUCUUAUUUUCAUUUAAUUGUUCUUGUGCCCAUCUCUUUUAUUUGAGUUUGGCAAUUCAAUUAGUUUUUCAUCUUCUGAUACAUCAGCAGUUUAACAGAGAAAUUAUGCCUUUGUCAUUUAUUUUUAUUGCAACAAUCAUCUCAAUCAUUUCCUUUUUUUUGUGGCACAGUUGAUGCCUAUUUAUCUAUCUUAACAUGCAGCGACAAGGAAUUUAAUUAUCUUAGAAAACUUGGCUAUUUGUUGCUAUUACAUUUUAGUUAUUAUGAUCAUCUUGGUGUGAAGUUGAUGGGAAAUACAUGAAGAAGUCGAGAUCCAUAAUCAUGCCUUGGACCAAAUGGUAUGUGCAGGGCACAUGGGGGCUUCUCACUCUCUUGUUCUUUCUCUAGCAAAGUAUCCAAUUGUGAUUUCUUGGUGUUGGUUUUAGGGUCAUGACAUGGAUACUUCCAGUGGAGUCCUUUCUGGAACAGUUGAUCGAUUCAAGAUGGUAAAUACACUUCACAUCUGUUCAUUGGGUUUCUACUUCUGUUUUUGACCAAAAUUAAAGUUUCUUCCUUCGGUUUUUGAGGAAAAGUUGAAUUGCAGAAUGGCUACACUUGUGAUCUCUUUCCUGGUGCUCUUCUUACUCAUGUAUUACCUAACCAAGUAGAAAUUUUCAGCUUUAUAGUACACAAGCAGAUUGUUGGUCCUUUUAAAGUGAUUUAUUGCGACUGUAUCCCCCACGCGUGAUAUCCUUUUGCGUACUAUUACUGUAUAUGUGAAAUUGACACCUUAGAUGUUGAAUCUUGUGAGGUUGAAGACUAAGAAUGAGUCCUAUCAUUUUCAGGUCUUUUAUCUUGUAGUCCUAUCAUUUUCCUGUUGAACGUUUUAGAAUCUUAAUAAAGAUGAUGAAUUACUUGAA